ACCUGUUGAGCAUUUGAGUUGAUAAUACUCUAAUAUGGUACUCAAGAUUUAUUUGGAAUCACGUGCAUGCUAACGAGCUAUGCAACCCCACCAACUUUGAUAUUUCACUCUUCGGAGAUGUCAAAACUUCUAACGGAGGUUCCCACACCAAGCUUCAUUUUAGCCAUAAGCCACAUGGAAGCUCGAAAUGAUCUGGAUGUCUCGAGACCCAAAUCAAAGGUUUACCUAGAUCAAACACAACAUUCUGG
rnacentral:lncRNA from 1 species